AACGAACGCUGGCGGCAGGCUUAACACAUGCAAGUCGAACGCAUCCUUCGGGGUGAGUGGUAGACGGGUGAGUAACGCGUGGGAACGUGCCCUUCAGUUCGGGAUAACCCAGGGAAACUUGGGCUAAUACCGGAUACGUGCGAGAGCAGAAAGAUUUAUCGCUGAAGGAUCGGCCCGCGUCUGAUUAGCUAGUUGGUGGGGUAAUGGCCCACCAAGGCGACGAUCAGUAGCUGGUCUGAGAGGAUGAUCAGCCACAUUGGGACUGAGACACGGCCCAAACUCCUACGGGAGGCAGCAGUGGUGAAUAUUGGACAAUGGGCGCAAGCCUGAUCCAGCCAUGCCGCGUGAGUGAUGAAGGCCUUAGGGUUGUAAAGCUCUUUCGUCCGGGGCGAUAAUGACGGUACCGGAAGAAGAAGCCCCGGCUAACUUCGUGCCAGCCGCCGCGGUAA
rnacentral:rRNA from 1 species